UGUUGGGGUUGAUAUAACAACACUCACUGCUCUUCAAGAGGACUCUGGACACCCUGUACCCCUGGCAGGGCAGUCCCCACCCUCUUCUCCUUUGAAGUUAUUGCCUUCCUAAUCAAGUAAGAAAUGAAGACUGAUUGCCUGCC